rnacentral:tRNA from 1 species
CGCCUAUUAGCUCAGCUGGUUAGAGCGUGGUCCUAAUAAGGCCAAGGUCGCGGGUUCGAGACCUGCAUGGGCCA